rnacentral:lncRNA from 1 species
CAAAUUCUUCGAUCCUUGAUUCCUUCUUCGGACACACUCAAUUCCAAUUCCUCAAAUCAAGCGAAAAUAUUUCUUUCGCUUUCUAUAUAAUGAUAUUCAUCUUGUUUUUGCUAAUCUCAAUUUAAACUCACUGUUAAUGGUUUAGUGACUUGUUAAUCAGCUGAAAAAUAAUGAUGUUGGUUACUUUGUUGAGAACGGCUUGGAUUGCUGGGACUCUACCCAUUUUACUCGCCUGUAUACCGUCACCCAAGCUGGAUGCGUUUCACAAUUUAUUGUUGGGGUUUGCUAAACGCGGCAAGACUAUGCAUUCUUCUUCACGCGUAAGUACUAUCCGUGAAUCAAAUCGAUUCUCUCUCUCUCUCUCUGUUUUUUUUUAAUUAUUAUUAUUAUUAUUUUUUAGAGAUCCUAGGUAAUUGAAGAAGUUAUCAUGUUUUAUUUGAAGCAUUAAGAGAACCGUUUUUUUUUUUUUUUUUUGGAUUUUUUAUUGUACAGUGUAUUCUAAGCGAAAUUCUAGUUUGGUGAUCCGAUACAUUUUUUUGUGGAAUUUUGUGUUUUCUACAGUUAAUUGCUCUAUACGUGUUACUGUUGGUGAAUUUGAGUAAUGUUCUACUGAGGGGAAAAAUAAUUUAUGAACAAUAACUUUGCAUAGAUUUAGUAGACUAAGAGACCGUCUUUUGUAAAUUAGCAUAAAGGGAUUGAAUUAGACAAAGCUAUUAAUAUUGUGAAUUCUUUACGAGGUGGGAUUGUAACAUACAUGUUGAUUAACUUAUUGAGACAGCAGUGUAAAUUUCUUGAAGAAUACAUAAUUGGACUUGCACUUGUUUAUUCUCGGGUAGCAUAAUAUGUUGCUUGGAAAUUGGUAAUCUAGUUUAUGCCUUUUUCUGCUAUAUGAAUUAACUUCUGCAGUACAUUAUUUGUUUAUGUUGCAGAAGUUCACAGUUCCUCAGAAAUACUUUAUUCACUUCUAUAUACUGGCAGUUAUAUGGACAAGUAUUCUACUAGCUACAACAUGGCAUUAUGCAUAUAGAAUAACUCCAGCAGUUUCUGAGCCAUCGCUAUAUUCUAGUAUUGCCAGCCACUUGACUGGAUCUUCACAUGUAUUUUCCUUGCAUAAAUCACAUUCAUCUUCAAGAGACCACAAAUAUUGUGUCUGGCAGUCUGUAUUUAUGCUUGUACUGAUGGAAGUUCAAGUAGUGCCACGCCUUUUUGAGAGUCUAUAUGUAUUCAAGUAUAGUCCUUCAGCUCGGAUGCACAUUUUGGGCUAUCUCACAGGCCUAUUGUAAGUUCUGCCUUAUUUGGUUCUUAAUCUCAUAAAUUUUGUCAUCAUCUUGUUACAUUCAGUUUUGUACAACCAAGCUAAGAAUAUUUCAAACUUCAUUUGAUAUGUCUUGAUAAGUUAUUAAGUUAAUUGCUUGAAUAUUUCCAAGUUUGGUGGGACGAACUGUCGUGAGUUUUUUUGGAAAGUGGUUUUUUUCUUUUUUCUUUUUUGGUUUGGAAACAAGUAGCACCUAUUCAUCAUUUUGAAAUUGUGUGGUGCUUGCCAGUUGGUUGACAUCAAUUAGAAACUUUAAUUUUAUACCUCAAUCUCUUAUUGAGAAAGAAAAGUCUCAUUCACUCAGACUUGUUAUCUUUCUUAUAACAGUUUCUACACAGCAGCUCCACUAUCCCUUUGCUGUAAAUAUGCCCCAGAGAUUUUCAAAUUUG